rnacentral:rRNA from 1 species
AUGACACCAAAGGCUUUAGAAUGGAUUAUGGACAGUGGAUGCACUAACCACAUGACUGGUGAUCGAAGUCUUCUCAUGGACUCAACCUUACGCCCAUCUGACAAGAGUCACAUCACAUUUGCUGACACUGGUAAAAGCAAGGUAUUGGGUCUAGGUAGAGUUGCAAUCUCAAAGGAUCAGCACAUGGAUAAAGUGAUGCUUGUUGAAUCCCUUGGUUUCAACUUAAUGUCUGUCUCAAUGCUUAGUGACUUGAACAUGAUUGUGAUAUUUGGAAAAUAUCGUCGCCUUGUGCUUAUGGAAUCUGAUAAAUCUCUAGUCUUUGAAGGGUAUCGAAAAGAUGAUCUGUACAUGGUAGAUUUCUCAGCAGGACCACAGUUGGUCGUAUGUCUUCUAGCAAAAGCUUCAGAGUGCUGGCUCUGGCAUCGGAGGCUAGGACAUGCUGGCAUGAGGAACUUGUACACUCUUGCGAAGAAGAAGCAUGUCGUGGGCAUCGAGGGCGUCAAGUUUAAGAAGGAUCAUCUGUGUGGUGCCUGCGAAGCUGGAAAGAUGACAAGGGCCAAGCAUCCCUCGAAGACAAUCAUGAAGACAUCAUGUCCCUUCGAGCUGCUUCACAUGGACUUAUUCAGCCUUACUCAUUACUCUACUCUUACUACCACUGCUUGUCUCUAUGGCUUCGUCAUUGUUGAUGAUUACUCAACAUGGGUGCAUAUAAUCCUCUACAAGAAUGAAGUGCAGGAUGCCUUCAAACGAUUCACCAAUCGUGCCAUGACGAACUAUGGCAUCAAGAUCAAGCACAUCAGAAGUGACAACGACACAGAAUUCAAGAACACCGACCUCGACACUUAUCUUGAUACAUUGGGCAUCACUCAUGAGUUCUCAGCUCCUUAA